AGAAAGGGUUGAGGAAGUUGAUGUUGGCAGCUUGGAGAGUUGUGGGCUGAGGAGAAAAACCUGGUCCAAACAGGGAAUUCCUGCUGUUGGAGUUGCUGAACAACCUGGUACAGCAUCUAAUCAAGCUGGUAGCUUGAUAGGUUGGGCUUGUUGAUGCUGUCGAACAGGAUAUAGGGUGUGAGAGCAACCUGGUGGAGCUGCCGAGUUGGGAAGCCAGCUAAAGAAGCUUGGAAAUUAAAGUUGAUUAAGUCAUGAAGGAGGUGGAGUUUCAGCUGAAGAGAAGAAAUUGGAACUGAGAAGAAUUUGAGAAUUUUGGAAAAGAAAGAGAGAAUUGGCGGACUGUGUUGGUGCUGCCAAAUAGGGAGGAUUAAACCGUUGAAGCUGAGAAUAACUUGGUAGAAUCCUAAAUUAAGCUCUGAGAAGUAUGGUCGGAUUGAGUGGCUGAGCAAGAAAUCAGCAGAGAAAAGAACUCGAAUUUAAGGUCGGCGACGCAGUAAUUACGGUAGAAGCCAAUUUGGCUCUAAUUGCAUUGAGUCGCGUGAUAUUGUUGUUGGCACCGUUUGAGACGUGGAUUCUAGUUGUUGACACCAC